rnacentral:rRNA from 1 species
AUGCAGAGGGGGCAAGCGUUGUUCGGAAUUACUGGGCGUAAAGGGCGCGUAGGCGGCCUGCUAAGUCGAACGUGAAAUCCCUGGGCUCAACCCAGGAACUGCGUCCGAUACUGGUUGGCUCGAAUCCGGGAGAGGGAUGCGGAAUUCCAGGUGUAGCGGUGAAAUGCGUAGAUAUCUGGAGGAACACCGGUGGCGAAGGCGGCAUCCUGGACCGGCAUUGACGCUGAGGCGCGAAAGCCAGGGGAGCAAACGGG